ACUCAAAUGAAUUGACGGGGGCCCGCACAAGCGGCGGAGCAUGUGGCUUAAUUCGACGCAACGCGAAGAACCUUACCAAGGCUUGACAUGCAUCGGAAGCAUCCAGAGAUGGGUGUGCUCUUUGAGUCGGUGUACAGGUGGUGCAUGGCUGUCGUCAGCUCGUGUCGUGAGAUGUUGGGUUAAGUCCCGCAACGAGCGCAACCCUUGUCCUGUGUUGCCAGCGGGGCCCUUCGGGGCUGCCGGGGACUCACGGGAGACUGCCGGGGUCAACUCGGAGGAAGGUGGGGACGACGUCAAGUCAUCAUGCCCCUUAUGUCUUGGGCUGCACACGUGCUACAAUGGCCGGUACAAUGAGCUGCGAUACCGUGAGGUGGAGCGAAUCUCAAAAAGCCGGUCUCAGUUCGGAUUGGGGUCUGCAACUCGACCCCAUGAAGUCGGAGUCGCUAGUAAUCGCAGAUCAGCAUUGCUGCGGUGAAUACGUUCCCGGGCCUUGUACACACCGCCCGU
rnacentral:rRNA from 1 species